AUACGGAGGAUCCGAGCGUUAUCCGGAUUUAUUGGGUUUAAAGGGAGCGUAGGUGGAUUGUUAAGUCAGUUGUGAAAGUUUGCGGCUCAACCGUAAAAUUGCAGUUGAAACUGGCAGUCUUGAGUACAGUAGAGGUGGGCGGAAUUCGUGGUGUAGCGGUGAAAUGCUUAGAUAUCACGAAGAACUCCGAUUGCGAAGGCAGCUCACUAGACUGUUACUGACACUGAUGCUCGAAAGUGUGGGUAUCAAACAGGAUUAGAUACCCUGGUAGUCCGCACAGUAAACGAUGAAUACUCGCUGUUUGCGAUACACUGUAAGCGGCCAAGCGAAAGCGUUAAGUAUUCCACCUGGGGAGUACGCCGGCAACGGUGAAACUCAAAGGAAUUGACGGGG
rnacentral:rRNA from 1 species